UUAUCUUCGGGGUAGGGUGAGAUUCCCGACCGGCAGUAUAGUCUGCGAGCCUCUGGCAUGAUACGGUGUGAUUCCGUAACCGACGGUAAAGUCCGGAUGAGAGAAGAU
rnacentral:ncRNA from 1 species